rnacentral:misc_RNA from 1 species
AAAAUCAAUGCCUGGCUAAGUUUGGUUCGACUAAAUGCUGGAAGAAAAUACGGAGCAGGCGAAAGUAUCGUACAGUCGCUACACAGAACUGUUUGCGUCGAUCGUACAAAAAGGAAACGAGUCAACGAUAUUUACACAAAUAUUUACAGGAAGCUGGGUGAAUGGCGCGAACGAGAACCACUGGGUGCCUACAUAUCUGCGCAAACACGAAGAGAGGAACACGGUUGUGACCUAGAUUCGACGUCCUUCCCUCCGGCAAUGCUGUACCACUUCCUGCACACGCCUCUCUCUUCUUUUCCGAAUCGACGAGCCAGCACCGAUCUUCCAACUCUUUUCGACCAGCGUGCGAGGCCUACUGGAAGAAUUAGUUUUCUUUGCGAUUACAUCGGUAUUAGCGGAAUCACCGCGGCGAUGAUAA